GACGAACGCUGGCGGCGUGCUUAACACAUGCAAGUCGAACGGAGAGAGAUGGAAGCUUGCUUCUAUCGAUCUUAGUGGCGAACGGGUGAGUAACGCGUAACCAACCUGCCCUUCAGAGGGGGAUAACAACGGGAAACCGUUGCUAGUACCGCGUACGAAUGAACUUCGGCAUCGAAGCUCAUUGAAAGGUGGCCUCUAUUUAUAAGCUAUCGCUGAAGGAGGGGGUUGCGUCUGAUUAGCUAGUUGGAGGGGUAACGGCCCACCAAGGCAAUGAUCAGUAGCCGGUCUGAGAGGAUGAACGGCCACAUUGGGACUGAGACACGGCCCAAACUCCUACGGGAGGCAGCAGUGGGGAAUCUUCCGCAAUGGACGAAAGUCUGACGGAGCAACGCCGCGUGAGUGAUGACGGCCUUCGGGUUGUAAAGCUCUGUUAAUCGGGACGAAUGGUCUUUGUGUGAAUAAUGCAAAGAUUUGACGGUACCGGAAUAGAAAGCCACGGCUAACUACGUGCCAGCAGCCGCGGUAAUACGUAGGUGGCAAGCGUUGUCCGGAAUUAUUGGGCGUAAAGCGCGCGCAGGCGGUUUCAUAAGUCUGUC
rnacentral:rRNA from 1 species